GGAGCCAUUACGGAAAGACUUUUAUGUAGAACAUCCAUCCGUUAGAACAAGAUCGAGAGAAGAAGUGGAUCGAUUUAGAGAAGCUGCAGAAAUUACUGUCAAAGGAGAUAAAGUUCCAAAUCCGAUUCAAUAUUUCGAAGAAGGAAACUUUCCUUCGUAUGUUAUGGAAGGGAUCCGCAGGCAGGGUUACGCACAGCCUACCGCUAUUCAAGCACAGGGGUGGCCUAUUGCGCUUGGUGGAAAAGAUCUAGUCGCUAUAGCACAAACUGGAUCUGGGAAAACACUCGGCUACAUACUGCCAGCUAUAGUGCACAUCAUAAAUCAACCUCGGCUGAACAGUGGUGAUGGUCCUAUUGCUCUGAUACUGGCCCCCACCAGAGAACUGGCUCAACAGAUUCAAGAAGUUGCAAAUUGCUUUGGAGAAACAGCCUCUGUAAGGAACACAUGUGUCUUUGGUGGGGCACCUAAGGGCCCACAGGCUCAUGACCUUGAAAGAGGCGUAGAAAUCUGUAUAGCAACGCCAGGAAGACUUAUUGACUUUCUAGAAAAAGGCACAACCAAUCUUCGCAGAUGCACAUAUCUCGUUUUGGAUGAAGCCGAUAGAAUGCUCGAUAUGGGUUUUGAGCCCCAGAUUCGCAGAAUCAUUGAACAAAUUAGGCCUGAUCGUCAAGUUUUGAUGUGGUCAGCAACAUGGCCAAAGGAAGUACGGGCGCUAGCGGAAGAUUUCUUGUCCAAUUAUACGCACCUCAAUAUCGGAUCUUUGACAUUGUCGGCAAACCACAACAUCAUUCAAAUAGUGGACGUUUGUCAGGAGUUUGAAAAAGAUAUGAAGUUAUUCAGGCUUCUCCAAGAAAUUGGCACGGAAAAAGAAAAUAAAACUAUAAUAUUUGUGGAGACGAAGAGAAAGGUAGACGAUAUCACACGAAAUAUCAGGCGAGAUGGCUGGCAAGCUCUAAGUAUUCAUGGAGAUAAAAAUCAACAAGAGAGAGAUCAUGUCUUGCAAGAAUUUCGUAGUGGAAGGGCACCGAUUUUAGUUGCCACUGACGUAGCAGCCCGUGGGUUAGAGGCACAGAGUUUACUAUAUCAACGCGGUGUAAUGCCAGUAUUGGGCAGACACAGCUAUUUUUUGGUUUUAUUCAUUAAUUUCAUUUGGUACCCUAAACCUUUUCUAAAUGAUAGAAUAUCAAGGGCCUGCUCCAAGCUUUAUGUUCUAUCGUGAAGCUGAAAACUAGUAAAUUCAAUUGGAGAACCAAUCUUCCUAGCUUGCUUCAAAUACGUCUAAUUUUAGCAAUUAUUAACGAAAUUUCGUCCAGCCCUGAGAUUUAUUGCAACUUGAAAAUUGUUAAAAUUGACAACCUUGAUCAUCAUAUCUAUAUCUGGUGCCGCUAACAGAACUAAUGCACUCGUCAGGUCUAAACCCUAAAAUGCUGCCUUUAUCCCACAUCAGACACAAUUGCUGUGUCUGUCUAACUGCUAGGCUGAUACUAAAUUUCUAUAACAAACCAACUGCAAUUGGCAUCGCACCAUUCUGUAUGCAAAUGAAGUCCAUCUCGCCGUUCGAGUCGGGACUUGCAGGCGAAAGACGUGGAGGAUGUCAAAUACGUCAUCAACUUUGAUUACCCUUCUUCGUCGGAGGACUAUAUUCAUCGUAUUGGACGUACAGGGAGAAGGUGUCAGACAGGGACGGCCUAUGCUUUUUUUACUACCCACAACAUGAAAC